GUGAAACUGGGGUCAUCAUCACCUGUGCUGAACAUUGUAGAAAAGCCGCAUGUUUUCCCAGACUGAUGAGACGAAACAGUGGAGAGACCUGUGCAAGAGUUUAAUGUGUCUUGGUGGAUCAGACACUUCUGGAAACAUAGUGUCACAUUUGCAUUGUCUGAAACCACUGCUUUGUUUUACCUCAGUUACUUCUACCUUAGACUGAACUUGAAUUGAUGACACGAAUACUUUCUACAUGAGGCAACAGUGUCACCUCUUGAGAACUUGGGAGGUGAAGUCUACUUGGGAGCUCAUCUCAUAAAGUAGACUGGGAACUUACACAACUUGGACAUCUCUCUAUAUGUGAUGUAUCCUGUCCUCAUAGCAGAGGUAAGGUCAAGAAGCAUGAGUUAGGUGAGUGGACAGUGAGUUGGAUUGAGGACUGCUCCAAGUGAACCUGCUUAUGCAAAGGGUGCCUAGAUGAUCUCCAGAGAUAUCUUCA